UCCAUGUGUACUCUUUGGUUGAUG
rnacentral:piRNA from 2 species